GUCUGAUCUUGGAAGCUAAGCAGGGCUGUGCCAGGUUAGUAUUUGGAUGGGAGCCGCCUAGGUAUACCGAGUGCAGUAGGCUU
rnacentral:rRNA from 1 species